rnacentral:rRNA from 1 species
AUUGAACGCUGGCGGCAUGCCUUACACAUGCAAGUCGAACGGCAGCGCGGACUUCGGUCUGUCGGCGAGUGGCGAACGGGUGAGUACUACAUCGGAACGUACCCUGUUGUGGGGGAUAACUAGUCGAAAGAUUAGCUUAUACCGCAUACGACCUGAGGGUGAAAGUGGGGGACCGCAAGGCCUCACGCAGCAUGAGCGGCCGAUGUCUGAUUAUCUAGUUGGUGGGGUAAAGGCCCACCAAGGCGACGAUCAGUAGCUGGUCUGAGAGGACGAUCAGCCACACUGGGACUGAGACACGGCCCAGACUCCUACGGGAGGCAGCAGUGAGGAAUUUUGGACAAUGGGGGCAACCCUGAUCCAGCAAUGCCGCGUGUGUGAAGAAGGCCUUCGGGUUGUAAAGCACUUUUGUCCGGAAAGAAAUCGCGCUGGUUAAUACCUGGCGUGGAUGACGGUACCGGAAGAAUAAGCACCGGCUAACUACGUGCCAGCCGCCGCGGUAA